GAACGGGUGAGUAAUGCGUCGGAACGUGCCGAGUAGUGGGGGAUAACGCAGCGAAAGUUGUGCUAAUACCGCAUACGUACUGAGGUAGAAAGUGGGGGACCUUCGGGCCUCACGCUAUUCGAGCGGCCGACGUCUGAUUAGCUAGUAGGUGAGGUAAAGGCUCACCUAGGCGACGAUCAGUAGCGGGUCUGAGAGGAUGAUCCGCCACACUGGGACUGAGACACGGCCCAGACUCCUACGGGAGGCAGCAGUGGGGAAUUUUGGACAAUGGGCGAAAGCCUGAUCCAGCCAUGCCGCGUGUCUGAAGAAGGCCUUCGGGUUGUAAAGGACUUUUGUCAGGGAGGAAAUUCCUAGUGCUAAUAACACUGGGGGAUGACAGUACCUGAAGAAUAAGCACCGGCUAACUACGUGCCAGCAGCCGCGGUAAUACGUAGGGUGCGAGCGUUAAUCGGAAUUACUGGGCGUAAAGCGUGCGCAGGCGGUUUGAUAAGCCAGAUGUGAAAUCCCCGAGCUCAACUUGGGAACUGCGUUUGGAACUGUCAGACUAGAGU
rnacentral:rRNA from 1 species